rnacentral:lncRNA from 1 species
UUAAAAAUAUUAAACUCAUCUGAACGGGAGAAGAAAAAUAUUUGGGAUUGAUCGCGGGACGAAAAUAUGCCGGAAAGGUCAAAAAUCGCGUAAACCGACCAAGAAGCUCGAGGUGUCCCUAUGCAUAUGGCCAGGACGUUCUGUCUAUCACAUCAGCAGCUGAGUGUCAACACAAGAAGGAGGUGUAGACGUGCAUGAAAGCUGAACAUGCAGCUUGACACAUAGAAGCACGAGGUGGA